UACAGAGGUCCCAAGCGUUGUUCGGAUUCAUUGGGCGUAAAGGGUGCGUAGGUGGUGCCGUAAGUUGGAUGUGAAAUCCCGGAGCUCAACUCCGGAACUGCAUUCAAUACUGCGGUGCUAGAGUACUGGAGAGGAGAUUGGAAUUCACGGUGUAGCAGUGAAAUGCGUAGAUAUCGUGAGGAAGACCAGUGGCGAAGGCGGAUCUCUGGACAGUUACUGACACUGAGGCACGAAGGCCAGGGGAGCAAACGGG
rnacentral:rRNA from 1 species